AUUGAACGCUGGCGGCAGGCCUAACACAUGCAAGUCGAGCGGAUGAAGGGAGCUUGCUCCUGGAUUCAGUUGCGGACGGGCGAGUGAUUCCUAGGAAUCUGCCUUGUCUUUGGGGAUAACGUCCGUACACGGGCGCUAAUACCGCAUACGUCCUGAUGUUGAAAGGGGGGGAUCUUCGGAGCUCACGCGAUCUGAUGAGCCUAGGUCGGAUUAGCUAGUUGGUUUGGUAAAGGCUUACCAAGGCGACGAUCCGUAACUGGUCUGAGAGGAUGAUCAGCCACACUGGAACUGAGACACGGUCCAGACUCCUACGGGAGGCAGCAGUAGGGAAUGUUGGGCAAUGGGCGAAAGCCUGAUCCAGCAAUGCCGCGUGUGUGAUGAAGGUCUUCGGAUCGUAAAGCACUUUAAGUUGGGAGGAAGGAAAGUAAGUUAAUCCAUUCAUGUUUUGACGUUACCAACAGAAUAAGCCACGGCUAACUACGUG
rnacentral:rRNA from 1 species